UAUUGAGGAUGACAAAAUCCCGAACCUGAUAACUGUGACUGAAAACAUUAUCGGAUCUGAUUUCUGAAAU